rnacentral:tRNA from 1 species
AUUUAAAUAGUUUAAUUAAAACAUUGGUCUUGUAAACCAAAAUUAAAAUUUUUUAUUUUUUUUAAAUA